rnacentral:rRNA from 1 species
GACACAUCACGUUGAAACACCGGCUCCCGUAUGAUCACCGACGUUAAGCAAUGUUGUGCUUGGUGAGUACCUGGAUGGGUGACU